AUUGAACGCUGGCGGCAUGCCUUAUACAUGCAAGUCGAACGGCAGCACGGGUGCUUGCCCCUGGUGGCGAGUGGCGAACGGGUGAGUAAUACAUCGGAACAUGUCCUGUAGUGGGGGAUAGCCCGGCGAAAGCCGGAUUAAUACCGCAUACGAUCUACGGAUGAAAGCGGGGGACCUUCGGGCCUCGCGCUAUAGGGUUGGCCGAUGGCUGAUUAGCUAGUUGGUGGGGUAAAGGCCUACCAAGGCGACGAUCAGUAGCUGGUCUGAGAGGACGACCAGCCACACUGGGACUGAGACACGGCCCAGACUCCUACGGGAGGCAGCAGUGGGGAAUUUUGGACAAUGGGCGAAAGCCUGAUCCAGCAAUGCCGCGUGUGUGAAGAAGGCCUUCGGGUUGUAAAGCACUUUUGUCCGGAAAGAAAUCCUUGGCUCUAAUACAGUCGGGGGAUGACGGUACCGGAAGAAUAAGCACCGGCUAACUACGUG
rnacentral:rRNA from 1 species